AAUGAUAAAGCAUUGUAGAUGUAAUAGGAUUUAAGCUCCUUUGAAACAAUAUCAUUU
rnacentral:tRNA from 1 species